CAGGUGCUGGACCUGCUGGCACCACAGAUGCGGCAUCGGGCACAGAAGAAGUGGCUAUUUCUACGCGCAGUGCUCAGAACAGUGAGCACUAAGAAUGAUUUGUAGCCUGACAUUC